AUACGGAGGAUGCAAGCGUUAUCUGGACUUAUUGGGUUUAAAGGGUUCGUAGGCGGAAAAUUAAGUCAGUGGAGAAAGCCUGCAGCUCAACUGCAGAACUGCCAUUGAUACUGAUUUUCUUGAAUUUAUAUGAAGUGGGCGGAAUGCGUCAUGUAGCGGUGAAAUGCACAGAUAUGACGCAGAACACCAAUUGCGAAGGCAGCUCACUAAUGUAAUAUUGACGCUGAGGAACGAAAGCAUGGGGAGCGAACAGGAUUAGAAACCCGAGUAGUCC
rnacentral:rRNA from 1 species